AGCUGUGCUGCCCGGGGAAUAGUGCAAGGAAACAAGUCUCACACAGCAGGAAUAGCUCAUGGACUUGUUGGAGCUUGUGCAGAGCAGGACUCCUUUAAUCACCCUUUCUCAAGAGCUCCCAGAAGGACUCAGCCAUAAUGCAAACAGCGAAGUGAGGAGCAUGAAACAGUCCAAGAUUCACAAUCUAAGGCCACAGAAAGAUGUUAGGCCACUCUAGCUCCAGCAACUCGGAGAGUGGGGAAAAUAGUUAUGAGACAGACAAAACUUCAGUCUUACUGAUUCAAAACUUCAGUCUCACUGAAUCUGAUGUGUGUGAUACGCCUUGGAUCCAAACGACUCAGGCACCUAUUUCUUGGGUGCUGAAUGAAUGCAACCACAACACAAAUAGGCUGGCAUGGGAGCCCAGAGGAUGCACUUUCAUACUGACUUAUAUGACUAGGAUGGAGCACAAAAAUGGGGAAAAAGGAAAAAGCAGACAAGGAUGAGAUCUAUUUCAUUUUCCUUCAUUUCCCGUUUCGCAGUGAAUCUACAUACACUCUGUAAUUAUUGAGAGACUGUGUGUUUGCUAUAUGACAAUUCAGGGCACUAACCAUUUGAUUCUGGAAGAGGUUUUAUUUGGACAUCUGUAGAAACAGGCAUUUUUCUCACUUGUGGAGGUGAAGCUAUGACACACAAAGUUUGACAAAUUGCUGUUCAGGAGACGAUAGCUGAGGGGUCUCAAGAAAAUUGUAAGUUAGAAAAACCAAAGCAUAA